rnacentral:SRP_RNA from 1 species
GCCGGGCAUGGUGGCGCAUGCCUGUAGUCCCAGCUACGUGGGAGGCUGAGGAGGGAGGAUCGCUUCAGCCCAGGAGUUCUGGGCUGUAGUGCACUAUGCCGAUCGGGUGUCUGCACUAAGUUUGGCAUCAAUAUGGUGACCUCCUGGGAGCGGGGGACCACCAGGUUGCCUAAGGAGAGGUGAACUGGCCCAGGUCGGAAAUGGAGCAGGGUCAACACUCCCAUGCUGAUGACGCCUGUGACUAGCCACUGCACUCCAGCCUGGGCAACAUAGUGAGGCCACGUCUCU